AUUUCUGAAUUCCCUCCUGUGACAGCAGGAAGUGGUUGUUCGGGAGUCCUUCCCCUCCUUUAAUUCUUAGACUUCCCUCGAAGUCUUGAAUCUAAAAGAAAAUAGAUUAUUUUUUCUUCUUUUACUGUUUUACUCCCUAUUUUAAUGCCUUCCCAGAGUUCACGAUUCUGACAGUUCCCAUACCAAGUCCUCAUCAUUGCAGAGCUUUAAGCUCUUUCUUUAAGUUCCUGUUUAUAUAACCAUGAUGCAAAAUCGCAGUUCUGAUAUAUCGGAUGCCUACUUAAAAGUCUUGCAACCUUAAUUAGAUGUUUGCUAAUCUGCAGUCAGAGUUUACCACUGUGUUUCAAUUGAGCAGUCUUUAUAUGCACAUCCUGUACCACAGACCAGAGGGCUCUUUUGAAGGUUUCUGGUAUGGAUUCUGCAUUUGCUUUUAGGUGACUGAUAUCCUGCUCAGAGACGGUUAAUACGAUGAAAGAGAGAUUAUUGCAUCAAUUGCAGUGUAUAGUUAACAGUGUAAACUUAUUGUCUGCUUUAAUCUGGACUUAGCCAGUUCUGUUGAGAUGCUGAUCUGUUUGAAAAAACUGGGGAUGUCAGCUCAGAUUGGCUUGUGGCUACAUGAGCAAUGCCCAUGGCUUGUCCUCUGUGUAAGAUAUGCAAGGAUAGGAGGUGAGCAAGAAAGUUUGUAUCCUUCCUUCCCCACUACAGUUCCCCACCAGGUAACAACCAAAUGAUUCCUAAAUUACAGGUUGAAUCCACAUUACCAUAUUUAAUAGCUAUCAGUAUACCAAUCCACCGCAAAGUUGUCUAAAAUCCUUUUGAAGCCUCUUCAUUCUUUCAGUCUCCAUGACAUCCUCUGUCAGCAUGUACAGCAGUGUGUGCACUGUAUGGAUUUGUACUUCAGAUCCUCUAAACCUGCUCCUGGAUAAUUUCAUCGGGUUUCAGGUUUGCUCUUUCUGGGAUUUCCAUCAGCAUGUUCUACCGAAACAUUCUCAUGUUUAUUUUACAAGACUUACUGAUCCCUCUUCAGUUCCAACUUCCCUACUUCCACAUUUAUUGAAUUUUUGAAGUUGGAAUAAACCGUUUCUCUGCAGUCACAGUCUGCAUUUAUUGUUUCAGUUGGUUUUGGAGUACAUGAAAUUGAAGAGUUUCAUAAGAUGUGAGAGGCAACUUCUCAAGGGCUGGAGGUGUCAGUAGCACUGGACUUGGGGCUGGCGCAUGCCCUUGGAGGGUCCCAAACAGCCUGGUUUCUUUAUCUUUGUGUCUUGCACAUUGCUGAGCAGAUUGUAAGCGCUAAAUAAAUGGUAAUCUCUGGAGUCCUGCUGAAGUAA